CUGCCGAUGGACAUAUGAGAACAAGGAAUCCAAAGGACAACUUUCCCCAAUUUUUCCAAUCACAUCCCUCAAUUUGGUACACCUAGCCUUUUUCCAGGGAUAAACUAAGUCUAUUUACCUGUUUUUUAAAGAUUACUUUAGAGGGUUUUCGGACUUUUGAUGAAUUCCCUCUAUGUCCCAUUUUUUGUAUUGUAUUUUGUCUACUUAUGGCCAUUGUUGCAGGGAUAGUUUUGAGUUUUCCCUUCAUCUCUCACUAUCAUUGCCAUGGUUGAGUGCCGUGGUUGAGUUGGUCAAAAUUUGGUGUUUGAUUUUAAUGAUAUUCUUUGAUCUUAAUACUACAAAAACAACUACAAUGCCAUGGUGGUUGUGGAGGUGUAGAAGGAGACUUUGGUGUCUCAUUUUAAUGUAACUAUUUUCAACCAUAAGUGGUAAAUGCAACUACAAACAACCACGUGGUGGUGUUGCCUUAAAUCCAACCCCAUUGUGAGCGAUAUAUUCUAUAAAUACCAAUGGAGGGACGGGUGUUUUUACCAUAGCUUUCUUUAGUUCUGUGUUUUGUUUGUUUCAUUGAAUUUGCUAUGGGGCUUGAUUCCCUUCUUCCUAUGGCUUCAUCCGACUGACUGGAAAGGUAGUAGUAGUAGUAGCUUUCUGGCUGGCUUUGGCUUUGUUUGGAUUGGUGAGUAGUAGUGUUGAGCUGGAUGAUAACCGGGUGUGAUUGAGGCACAUACGAAGUUCUUUUCGUUGGGAUUGGCUUGGUCUUCCGUCGGGCUGAUGGAUUUACGCAGUCCUUUUGUUUGUUGUGUGCGCGAGAUGUACCUCUUUCAAAACAAGAUUGUUGAUCCAUUAACUCACAACAUCUGUUUCAGUCACAAGGGAUUUGCAUGAAAAGCUUUCUGGUUUGACGAGGUAACUGAUGUUGAUGGCUAUUUGGAGAGGACGUACUUAAGCCCAGCUUCGAUCAGAGCUGGAAAUCGAAAUGAUGGCUGGAUAAGGAAGCUGAUUUCCGAAUGUGAAGAUUUUAGAUCCUAGGCUAGCUCUGCAUUAUAAUUGAUUUGGUUCUGUUUGGUCUUUUUUUGUGAUUAUUUUACUAUUGGUUAAUGAUACCUUGUUAUGGAAUUCUUUAAGGCCAAUGGAAGCCAGUGUGAAGAAGUGAUUGGAAACAUUGUCUGGAAUGAGAAUUCGACGUUUGAAGUUCUCAAUUAUUUUCCUGUCUUCUUUGUAGGUAAAUAGAUAAUUACCUCGUUGUCUCUUAUCUUGCUUUGUUAGAUCUGCGGUUGCGUAUGUAAAUGCUUCAUUUUCCAAAGUUAACGUAUCAUAUUGAGUUAUUUUCUGUUGAAUUCGAUGGAAGAUUCGGAUUAAAAGUGUCCCUUAACCACAUGUGCAUCUGAAGUACGGGAUGGAAAGGUAUGUUUUUUAAUUCAUUUUAACAUGACAUGCAUUGGAUUUUUUCACAAACCAAGGAGGAAAGGAUUAUAACUACCCCGUGUAGUCAUACUAUUCAACCCGCAUACUUUCAUGAAAGUGGUAACGUGUUCAUUCAUUUGUUUUGUGCAGUUGGUACGAGCCCGGUUUAAACUGCAGGUGGUAGAGGAAAAGGCUUUAGGUUGAUAAAUCUUGAGCUGGAGCCUCCUUGUGAGUUUCUUCCUGAAACUGUUGCGAUGUUCUAAAUAGAGCAGCGGUUUGAGAUAUUGCAAUGGAGGGUAGAAGCAUGGACAAAGUGAUCGGGGUUGAAGAAGAAGCAAGCACAACUCCCGAACUUGAGAGGGUUACUUCUGUUUCGACCAUUUUCCCUAUUUUUGGCAACGCUAAAGAACCAGCGCAAAAUGCAAAAGAUGUCACCGGGUCCAAAAAGGAAACCUGAACUGAAGCAC